rnacentral:rRNA from 1 species
UCCGUAAGGUGAACCUGCGGAAGGAUCAUUA